rnacentral:tRNA from 1 species
GCAUUGGUUGGUCAGUGGUAGAAUUCUCACCUUCUAUUCGAGAGACCAGGGUUUGAUUCCCAGCCAAUGCA